UACGGAGGGGCUAGCGUUGUUCGGAAUUACUGGGCGUAAAGCGCACGUAGGCGGCUUUGCAAGUUAGAGGUGAAAGCCCGGGGCUCAACCCCGGAAUUGCCUUUAAAACUGCAUCGCUAGAAUUGUGGAGAGGUAAGUGGAAUUCCGAGUGUAGAGGUGGAAAUUCGUAGAUAUUCGGAAGAAACACCAGUGGCGAAGGCGACUUACUGGACACAUAUUGACGCUGAGGUGCGAA
rnacentral:rRNA from 1 species